rnacentral:rRNA from 1 species
UACGGAGGGUGCAAGCGUUAAUCGGAAUUACUGGGCGUAAAGAGUGCGUAGGUGGUUUGAUAAGUUAUCUGUGAAAGCCCUGGGCUUAACCUGGGAAAGUCAGAUAAGACUGUUAGACUUGAGUAUGGGAGAGGGUAGUGGAAUUUCCGGUGUAGCGGUGAAAUGCGUAGAGAUCGGAAGGAACACCAGUGGCGAAGGCGGCUACCUGGCCGUAAUACUGACACUGAGGCACGAAAGCGUGGGGAGCAAACACGG